rnacentral:lncRNA from 1 species
GAAAAUGAUCUGGAAGGCUCCCCUCUUGCACUUAAUAAAUAAUCCAUAUUCCUGAAGGAAGCCAGUGAGACAGGACUUCAAUUUUCCUAUAUCUUCUUCUACUUGAUAGUUAGAUACCCCUGGAUAUCUACCAUGUUGUUUAUGAAAUCUAUCAACAGCCUGUAACAGAGGGACAUCUCACCACUCGAAGAAAUGCAGAAUUGCUACAGAGUAAUUUUGAUUCUUUCUCUGAAAUGGAUUCUGGUGCCUGGCCAAUGGACUGCAACAAUUUGGCAACAUGAUGACCCACAGCAGCAGCAUCUUUCUUUGCUUUUUCACGGUAAACAUUUUGGAAUUUUAUAUAUUUGCCUGAAUCUGUGAUCAUAUCAGGAAUUGUGCCUUGAACUGGUAAAUUUCCUUGACCUUCUUUGGCUACAAAUUCCUUUAAGGUACAAGCCAAAAUCCAAAAUAGUGGAGUCUGUUUUGUAAUAUUUAUGCAGCGACCAUCAUUAAAUAUAUCUUCAAUAUAUUGCUUGGAAUCUGAGUUGUAUUUAGUGCUGUG